ensembl:lncRNA
CCUUCCCGGGCGCGCGGGUUCCCGGCGCCAGCGCUCUUAGCUGGCCCUGGCAGCCUGCCAGGUAAGCUUCUCACCUGGACAUCAUGACACCAGCGACAACAUCUUGCUUGACACUUCCACCCUAGCUGUAGAAGGUGAAGCCAAAACCGGACUGCGACAACUCCCUGCAAGUCCGAAACGGCAUCCUGCGUGGUAGCAUGGAGCUGCGGGGUCGUUUGGCUCCUAGGCCGACUGGAAUAAGCCACUUCUGAAGCUGUGGAUCAUUGCAGUUUGAACUCACCAUCCAGGAACAACGUAGAACUAGCCAGAAGCAAGAAUCGCUGACUUAUCUACACACCAAGAUUCGUGCUUUAUCAGGAGAUUCCUUAGGCUUUGAAAAGCAGCGUCCUUCAGCAACAUUCAAACUAGGAAAUAAAUAUAAUAUUUGGAUCCCCAGCCACCAUUUCAGACCACAAGGAAACUAUGAGGAUGAAAUUAAUGACUAAGAAGAGUAGAACAGAAAGAGAGAAUGACAGACCCACCUUACAAGACCUAAUAAAGGAAGUUCUUCAGGCUGAAAGCAAGUGGCUCCAAUAAUUUGAAUUUAUGUGAAAAAAACAAAGAGCACUGGUAAAGGGUUAUCAGCUUGGAGAACCAACAUGAGGGAGCUUGCUGAUGUCUUAGAGAUGUUAAACUUUCAGGAUCAAGUAAUUCCUGGCCAAGAAACAAAAGCAAAACUGUCUCAUUCCCCAGUGGAUUUGGAUGAAAACUGGUAAUCAGCUACAACACCAAAAGGACACAUUGGAGAAGAACCAAGCUGGGUCUAUAAGGAUUUGCACAUGGGAUGGCACACACAUCCAUUCAGUAUCAAGGUCACUAUCAUCUGAUCAUAUCAAGCUGGAAACGUCACCACUAUCUGGACAGUUGGACAUGUUUAAUUGCAAAAAUUAGUAUUGAUGAAUAUGCUCUGCACUACCAGGCUGGUUCAGUAAUAAAUAUGUAAAACCUUUUGUUUGAAAAAAAAAAGAGAUUAGCAAUAAACUGAACAUAACCAACAGCUGACCCCACUUUAAAUUAAAGAGGAGAAAAGGUGUUUGCCUACUUGGAAUACUAUAAACCAGUGCUUCUCAAACUUUAAAAUACAUACAAACUACCCUGAGUUUCCCCUAUCUUGUUAAAAUGCAAAUUCUGACAAGUGGAACGGAGGUUCUUAUUUCUAACAAGCUCCCAGCUGAUGUCAUUGCUGUUGGUCCUAGGACCAUACUUUAAGCAGCAAGGCUAUAAAGCAAACAGGCCCUUUAAGUGACUUGUACCUUCUUAAAUUUCCCUGCACUCCCUAAAAUGUUUUUACAUUGCUAUUAAGUCUGUAAUUCCACCAAUUACAUUUCUGUAAAAUGAGCUGUAGAUUUAUUCACAACUUAAUAUUAAUUCUUUUAAUCGAAUAGUUUUCCUCAUCAUAUCCACUGAGUUGGGAACUUCAAGAAUGAACAUUGGUUUUUAUAAAGAAGAAGGAAUUUUAAUAAUGAGGCACUGUGUACUAAAGAGUGAACAAAACAGUGGGCACAAGGGGGUUAGAAGGAGGUGGGUGUUUGACAGCUUGCAGAGUAUUGUGAAAGCAGAGACACCUGGGGUCAGGGCAAAGGCGCUAUGAGGAAGUAGGAGGAGGUGAAGAAAGAGAGGUGUGAGGCUACCUGUACAAACAUCACAGUUUUAGAAGCCUUGCCUCGGGUCAGGCUGAGGAAAUCUAAUGAUCUCAAUAAAAACAGCAAGCCUAUUCCUAACUUUUUAUAGAAAGGUAGUAAGAUCCAUGUGUAUAUCAGUAAGGAUUAUUGUUUUUUCUCAAUUUGCUUAUGCAGUUGUGAAAUGCACAUUUUGCUAAAUGCACAAGCCAGUUGAAACUGUAGCAGAUGUCCUUUAAUAAAAAUUAAAGAUGUCAAGACAGGAUUUAGAGCUCAAGUUAAGACCAGUGAAUGGCACCAUAGAAUAAUAAUGCCUAAAUCAGAGAUCUUUAAACAAGCAGAUUUAAUUGGAUUGCUCAGUGUCAUUCAGGUAGUUGAUGAAAUAGCCUGAACUUGAAUACCAGGACUCUUGACUCUUCAUCAAGUGCUUUUUUUUUCUUCUAUCAUCAAGUGCUUUUUUAAUACCACACACUAGUUCAAAAGUCUAAGUUAACAUUUCCCAAAAGGCUUCAUAUUUUGGUUUCAGUAAGUUCUUUUUAAAAAUGUGUGGAAGCAGACUGGGCGCAGUGGCUCACGCCUGUAAUCCCAGCACUUUGGGAGGCUGAGGCAGGUGGAUCACCUGAGGUCUGGAGUUUGAGACCAGCCUAACCAACAUGGAGAAACCCCGUCUCUACUAAAUAUAAAAAAUUAGCCAGGCAUCGUGGUGCGCGCCUGUAAUCGCAGCUACUCAGGAGGCUGAGGCAGGAGAAAUCGCUUGAACCCAGGAGGUGGAGGUUGCAGUGAGCCGAGAUCAUGCCAUUGCACUCCAGCCUGGGCAAAAAGAGCAAAACUCUGUCUCAAAAUAAUAAUAAUAAAAUAAAAAUGUAUGGAAGUAU